UUGUAGCUCAGUGGUAGAGCAUCUGCUUUGCAUGCAGAAGGUCCCAGGUUCGAUCCCUGGCAUCUCAA
rnacentral:tRNA from 1 species